CUCGUUUCAAUGAGGAGACUGUGUUACCUGUGCAGCCACAAUAUGGCGAGACUUUCUGGAAGACAGCUGUGCCAAUAUCAUGCGAGGACUUGUUCACAUAUGAACCCUUUCUUGCUUCAGCCCUGUACUCCAGUUCACCUGUUGGGAUGGUGAGCAGACAUAAAAGAGUGAGCAGCCUGACUCAUGAGAAUCUGCCGCAUCCUUCACAGCUGAUGAGUAGAAUGAGAAGAUAUCACAGACUACAGAAACACACACCAAGCGUUCUGCAACAUAUAGGAGAACUCAGGAUGAAACAGCGCCAUAUAAAUGAGUGAGAGAGAGAAGGAUUGUGGGAGGA
rnacentral:lncRNA from 1 species